AACCAAUAUCAUGUGGUAAAUAUCUGAACUUUACAGCAGCUUCUCUGUCAAGGGGUUUUCAAUUAAAGAUUUUAAGAUUUUUUUUUGUUCUGUUCUUAACCCAAUCCAUUAAUUGUGUCAGUCAUUCUCUGUAGUAAUCAUGAUUUGUAUGUCCAAAGUGUCGGUGCUUCUGUGUAUUUAAUGGAUUUUUUAUUUACAUUUCAGACGAUGACGUAGAUGGCGAGAGAGUGGAUUGCAUACCCACAGAGAGUAUGAUCGGGUAUCUCUGACAAGUCUGACCAAAAGCUGUUAAAGUUCAGACUUCACACUCUGCUACAAGGAGGUCACCCUUAAUUUGGAAGCAGUCAAGACAGAACAACAAACAUGUGUCCCAUACAAACCAGAGGUGGGAACCUACUUGACACAGACUGCCUUGCAGAACCGGUCCAAAAGGAACAACAGUACCGCAACAACAUAAUGAGGAGUCUAUAUGAAAUGCAGUGUACAAUUUGUGCGAUGAGGUCGAUGCUAUGCAACCCUUUGCAGUCAACAAUUGCCACCGCUUCAGUGAAAACUUCACAUUUGGAUUUGUCACUGAAAAAAACCCACAUGGAUGAAAGAGAAUCCCGUGGCUGAGGAUAUUAUUACAGAAUGAUCCCCUAACUCCCAUCCAAUCAUUCAACUGAAAGACCACGACUGGAAAACUGCCCUCUACAGACAUUGCAGUGUUUUCAAAUUGGAAGGAAUUGAAGUUUUUCCUGCACUUCAGUGGAUGCCUCAUCCAGUUUAUCACAGCCUUCUGCUUCGUCUUCAACAUGACAUAUCCUACAAACUUUCAAAAGACCCUGAACUUUCUCCGAAGACACAUCAUGGACUUUAUGGAAGAUUGAGACAAACCCCUGCUGGUAACUGUAACUCGAGGCAUUAACCUUCUUUACUGAAAAUGCAUGGACUGCAUUACUGUUUGAAAUGUUCAAAGAGGACCUUUGCUCUGAGGCAAGUGAUUCAACACACUGGACUUGUACAUGCCCACGAACCUUUCUUUUCGGUGGCAUGUUUAUUGAAACCACAAAGACAAUAUUUCUAAUUGCUGGGAAAAAAACCCAGAAGAACCUUUCAAAUAACUAGUAUAACUUACCCACACCUGGUAUUUUAAAGAUGUGCAGUUUCAGGAUACAGUACUUCAGCGUAUGUCAUCUUUAUCUGGUAAUGGUGUCAAAGGAUGUUUUUGUUGUAGGUAAUGUACACCCUGAAGCCAUCUCUUUAUUGAAAAUUAAUCACAAUCUGAACAUUGAGACUUUUUUG